rnacentral:rRNA from 1 species
UACGUAGGGUGCGAGCGUUAAUCGGAAUUACUGGGCGUAAAGUGUGCGCAGGCGGCGUCGCAAGUCGAGUGUGAAAGCCCCGGGCUUAACUUGGGAAUUGCGCUCGAAACUACGAUGCUGGAGUGUGGCAGAGGAAGGUGGAAUUCCACGUGUAGCGGUGAAAUGCGUAGAGAUGUGGAGAAACACCAAUGGCGAAGGCAGCCUUCUGGGCCAACACUGACGCUCAUGCGCGAAAGCGUGGGGAGCAAACAGG